rnacentral:snRNA from 1 species
GUGCUUGCUUCAGCAGCACAUAUCGUAAAACGAGCCGCAGAGACCAUCAGCAUGGCCCUGUGCUAUAAUGACGAGCAGACUUGCGCCGUGUUCCAUAUUUUU